GUGCGUGAUGAUGGAAAAUU
rnacentral:miRNA from 1 species